GAUGAACGCUAGCGGGAGGCUUAACACAUGCAAGUCGAGGGGCAGCAUAGGGUAGCAAUACUCUGAUGGCGACCGGCAAACGGGUGAGUAACGCGUAUGCAACCUACCCUGUACAGGGGGAUAACCCGGAGAAAUUCGGACUAAUAUCCCGUAAUAAUAUCCGGAGGCAUCUUUGGAUAUUUAAAGUUCCGACGGUACGGGAUGGGCAUGCGUAACAUUAGCUGGUUGGUAAGGUAACGGCUUACCAAGGCUAUGAUGUUUAGGGGUCCUGAGAGGGUGGUCCCCCACACUGGUACUGAGACACGGACCAGACUCCUACGGGAGGCAGCAGUGAGGAAUAUUGGUCAAUGGGCGCAAGCCUGAACCAGCCAUCCCGCGUGCAGGAAGACGGCCCUAUGGGUUGUAAACUGCUUUUCUAGGGAGAGAAACUUACGCACGUGUUGCGUGACUGACGGUACCCUGGGAAUAAGCAUCGGCUAACUCCGUGCCAGCAGCCGACGGUAAACUGUCUACG
rnacentral:rRNA from 1 species